AGAUGUUUUGACAAAGCUUUAUUAGUUAGGAUAUAAACAUAAAGAUAACAGUACUGAGUUAAUUUUAAAAUCAUCUGAUGUUGACUACUGCUAUGAAUUUUACUAAAGCAACGAAUAGUAAUUACUAAUAUUAUUUUAACUAUUGCUUAAUGAGAAAUCAACACCAAGUUUUUCCUAGCUCGAAAUCAACACACAGUUGUCUGUUGAACUGUUUAGGUAUAACAUUAACACAUGCAAUUAGUGUAGAUUCAAUUACGAAUUUCUGGCCGUGAUAUAAUAUUGUAAUCGUACAUUAUCGACGAUCGACUAUUAUUAAAAAUCUAACAAUUUCUUUUAAAUAUUAAAUGUAUUUUAACUAUUAAAAUUUUAAGUUAUUUAAUUUUCAAAACACUCUAGGAACAGAGAGUUUUAUAACUAGGAAGAAGUAGAUGAUAAUAUGGCUUUAAAGAUUGAAUACAAACUUCUUCAUCAGACAUCAGUAGUCCAUAUCGAAGCUACAAAAUAAAUAAGCAUAAUUCAACCUACUAUACUACGAAUAGCAAAAUAAAUAACUUAAAUGGAAGUAGUGACCCACUGGAGGCUGGACACCUACCGUACAGUAGAGCGUUGUCCUCGGUUUAGUAGGCUCGUGUGUGCCGUAUGAAAAAAUAUUGUUUCGGCAUAAUGUGUAACAGGAACGUAUGCAACGAUCGUGAAUGCCGUUGUACGGUAGUCGUCGUCGUCGCCACCGACGCCACUCAGUACGGUUGUAGACGACGCCGAAUGUGACCCUGAUACUACGGACGCGUUAUAGUUUGUCAGUGACUGCUUAUUCUGUCUGUAUUUUAUUUUCCCGAACACGAAACGGAUUUUAUAACCGCGACCCGUUAAAAUAUGAAUAAUAUUCCCAUAAAGUAAUAUUCAAGUGAGGAACAAAAUUAAAUUAUUUAUAGGCUACAGGUUUUUGUAUUGAUUAUGAUUACGAGAAAAACUACCGUGGUAAAUAAUAAAAUAAAUUAUAAGAACUUGUGAAUUAUGUAUAAACAUAAUCUAUACAUAACUAUUCACUUUUGGCGGUAAAUUUAAUUUUAUUAGAUGGAAUUCAAAUAACACCGGUGUUCACACAACAAUAAAGAGUAAAGACAUAGCAGUGGACGGUUUCACCUAAUAAAAUUAACAAAUAGGUAGUUAAUAAUAAUAAAAACAUGUUAUUUUUAACCAUUUAAAAUUAUCUACAAAAAAAAAAAUUUGAAAAUGUUACCUUAAAGUUUUUGAAAUAAUAAACGCCUUACCUUAAAUGGCUUAUAUAGAUCAUCAGCUGGUAUUUAUGAACCACU